CACGUAGGGUGCGAGCGUUGUCCGGAAUUAUUGGGCGUAAAGAGCUCGUAGGCGGUGUGUCGCGUCGGCCGUGAAAACCUGCAGCUUAACUGUGGGCGUGCGGUCGAUACGGGCAUCACUGGAGUUCGGCAGGGGAGACUGGAAUUCCUGGUGUAGCGGUGAAAUGCGCAGAUAUCAGGAGGAACACCGGUGGUGAAGGCGGGUCUCUGGGCCGAUACUGACGCUGAGGAGCGAAAGCGUGGGGAGCGAACAGG
rnacentral:rRNA from 1 species